rnacentral:lncRNA from 1 species
UGAUAUUUGAUGUAGAAAAAUGGUAAUGCAUUAGUUGACAUGAAAAAAAUAUUGUCAUGAAAGUUGAUAGGUUGGCCUGAAAAGAUGAUAAUGAUAUACACGUAAUUAAAUAUUUUAAAAAUAAAAAUUUAAAGAAAUUUAAAAUUUUCUUAAAAAUCAUGAAAAAGUUUAAGAAAUUAUAAAAUGAAAAAUAAAAACUUAAGAAAAAAAAAUCAAUCAACAUUGUAC